GCCCACCGAGGCUCUCCUCUCCCGCUCCGUGCCCGCAUCCCAACCCUCCACCGCUUCCCGCCUCCUGCUCCUCCUUGCCGCCGUCCUCGCCGUCUCCACCGCCUUCCUCCUCAUCCGCCCGCCCCACCUCCUCGCCGUGACCGCGGCCUCCGCCGCCGCCACCGCGCGGCCGCUCUCCAAGCUCCAGAAGCCGGUGGUUCUGCUCAUAUCCUCGGACGGCUUCCGCUUCGGGUACCAGUUCAAGGCCCCCCUCCCGCACAUCCGCCGCCUCUUCGCCAAUGGCACCUCCGCCGCCGAGGGCUUGAUCUCCGUCUUCCCCACGCUCACCUUCCCCAACCACUACUCCAUCGUCACCGGCCUCUACCCCUCCUCCCACGGCA
rnacentral:lncRNA from 1 species